GGCAAAGAUGAACAAUGCUUAUUCUGACACCUCUUGUAUGAGAAGUGCCGGCAGAGGCUCUUCUUUGAGCACAUUAAGCUACUCUCUGAGCC